CUGUCUUCUCCAUACAGAGUCCAUGGAUCCUCUGUUCCUUGCCUCGGAGCUACCCAUCUAUGCAUGAUUUCCAGCAAGGUCAGCUGAAUAGAAAAGAAAGUCACUUCUUUGGGCUUAAACCAAUAAUAAGUGUAAAGCUAAAAGCAUGAGGAUUUAUGAAAGAAAACAUCCGACUGACCACAGACAAAGACAAUUAUUUG
rnacentral:lncRNA from 1 species